GAUGAACGCUGGCGGCGUGCCUAAUACAUGCAAGUCGAGCGAACGGACGAGAAGCUUGCUUCUCUGAUGUUAGCGGCGGACGGGUGAGUAACACGUGGAAAACCUACCUAUAAGACUGGGAUAACUUCGGGAAACCGGAGCUAAUACCGGAUAAUAUUUUGAACCGCAUGGUUCAAAAGUGAAAGACGGUCUUGCUGUCACUUAUAGAUGGUUCCGCGCUGCAUUAGCUAGUUGGUAAGGUAACGGCUUACCAAGGCAACGAUGCAUAGCCGACCUGAGAGGGGGAUCGGCCACACUGGAACUGAGACACGGUCCAGACUCCUACGGGAGGGAGCAGUAGGGAAUCUGACGCAAUGGGCGAAAGCCUGACGGAGCAACGCCGCGUGAGUGAUGAAGGUCUUCGGAUCGUAAAACUCUGUUAUUAGGGAAGAACAGAUGUGGAAGUAAAUGUGCACAUCUUGACGGUACCUAAUCAGAAAGCCACGGCUAACUACGUG
rnacentral:rRNA from 1 species